CCUGUGCUUGCUAAGGAAGCACGAACAUUGGAACAAUCCAGAGAAGAUCAGCAUGGCCGUGCGCAAGGAUGACACGCAAAUUCGUGGAGCUUCCAUAUUUUU